AUUAACGCUAGCGGCAGGCAUAAUACAUGCAAGUUGAACGGCAGCACAGGUAGCAAUACUGGGUGGCGAGUGGCGCACGGGUGAGUAACACGUAGGUAACCUACCUUUUAGAUUGGGAUAACAGUUGGAAACGAUUGCUAAUACCAAAUGAUAUAUAGGAGGGGAACUUUCUAUAGUAAAAGGGUGCUUUAAAGCAUCGCUUUAAGAUGGGCCUGCGGUGUAUUAGCUAGUUGGUAGGGUAAUGGCCUACCAAGGCAACGAUGCAUAGCCG
rnacentral:rRNA from 1 species